CAUCCAUACAGCCUGGAAGAGAAAUGAUUAAGUGUUAGAUUUAUUUAUCUGAUUGUGAAAUGAGGAGUUUCCAUCAGGUGGGAAAUAAAGUGUUUACCUGAAUACAAGGUUCCAAUGUCAGGAUAAAAAUAUAAAAUGAACAGCCCGUGCAUAAACAAUAAACUAGUAUUGGCAUGUUAUUAAAGUAAAUGUGUGUGUGUAAUGUACACUGAUCUACAUGCUGUAGAAUUAAAUGUACUUUGUUCUGAUGUGAGAAGUGAUGUAGAUAUUUCAGCAUCAACACAAAGCUGAGUUUCACAGAGACACUAAAACUGUUGGAGUUCAUUGUUCUUUGGAUCUUAAUCUAAUAACUUUCACUCACAGACACAGACACACAGAAAAACAAAGCUCAACAUAAGAAACAAUGUUAAUCCACACCAUAUAAAAUACACACUUUAAUGUUUUAUUCAUAUAAAACACUGGGCCUCAUUUAUCACACUGGAUACGAAUGAUAUUUAUUCAUAAAGUGUGUGUAGGAGCAUUUACACAGAAACUUUUUAAUGUGUAAAGUUAACUAGAAAAUAACUACAGUAAGAUUCACAAUAUAUCAUUCGCUCAGCCAAAACGAGGAGCUUGUCAUAAAAGUCGUUUUGCAGAAAAACGGCAGUAUAGAUGAAAAUCUCGAUUACCGGCAAUUUAGUUUAUAAUAUAAACUAUAAUAUAAGCUGAGACUUAUUACUGUUGCCCGGAUCAAUAUGGUGGCGACGUUGACCUACGAUGCAGCAGCCAAUGCGGCGUCUAUGUAUGUCUAUGAACACAACAGCCAUGAGUCACAGUGGAGUGACGUCAACUCCCCUCUUUGAUUGAUCGGCUAGAGGAGGAGCUGUAGUGGACUAAUGGUGACGCUAAAGCCCGCCCUGAUUUACAUGAAACUUGAACUACCACAUUUGGAAAAGCAAGCAGAGAAUGUGGAAACAAGCGUGAAGGGAAAACCAGCAUAAGUGUUCAGAAAAAGAAGACAUGAGCAGAAAAUGUCAGAGAGCACAAAAAGACAGUAAUAUAACCAAGGAAACAUGAUUUUGUGUGUGAUUCAGAAGACUUUAAAUUCAUGUUUCAGUUUUGUGUGAUAUAAUAUUACAUGUGUUUUUAAAUGUUUGAUUCAUUCUUAUUAUUUUUCGAUCCGUGAACGCAAAACUUUUGAGGGAAAACGAAUCCCAUACUUUUGGACCCAGACUUGGAUUCGUGAACCAAAAAUACCUUAAAUCAUUUCACACCAGACUGCUUUGUGAACACGCGUCAAUACAGAGCAGGAUUUACUAAAAACUUGAUUCUCAAGAAUGGAUCAGUACCAACUGUUCGUGAUCCAGCUUCAUACCCAGAAGAUGUCAUCAUGCACAAAAAGUUGUGUUUUUCCAAGAAAGAGUUAAGGUUGUGUUCUGUAAGGGAUCACUAGGAUAUCUCCUUCAGGAGCCAACCGAGGAGGCCAGGCUGAUCAAAAAUAACCUGUCUCUGCAGGACAAGUCACACCAAUGAAGGAGGAGCUUCAGACAAAACGCUCUGACUGUGGUCCAUCAGAGAGGAGGGGAUGUCUCAGACCAGAGAGAAGUUUUUGGUGAAUACAUCUUGCAGAUUGGCAAAUACAAGAAAAUGACAUGGGGUAUACCAUCUACCUGAUGAAGAAUCAGCAGGAAGAGGCUACAGGAGUCUUUAUGCUCACAUGUUUCCUCAGAGCUGUUUCAAGCCCAGGGCAUGACCGGAGUGGCGCACUGGAACUUUCAGUAUAUGGUGGACCUGAAACCGCCAGUUGUUCUGCUUCCAGGAGGGUUUGAACCAUGUCUGAUUGAAGAUCUCAAUACUGUUUCAGAGAGGGUGUAGGAAUGCCAAAGUUUCCUGCCCUUCAGGUGUCCAACAAAGAUUCAGGCGGAGGUUUGGGCUGGAGUGUGUUGAACCUGGAUGUCACCCUGUUCUGCUAGACUGGGAAAAGCACAAGGGCAAGACCACUCAGCCUUUAAAUCCAGCUGAACAAAGCAGCCCACCCAGUGCCCAGUCUGGAGACCCUCCUGCUGAUCUUGAUGUGACUCUACAUCCUCAGCUAGAGUCAGAAUCCACUGACACUCUGCCUGUGCCCUUGCUGUCCUCAUCUAAUGGUGCCCAUGUGGAGCUAUACCACCUCUGCCCAUGCUGACCUCAUCCUAGAGCACCUGCAAUGGACCUGUGGAGACUGGUGGGAGGGUGUUUGUGCUGGACCACAUAUGGUUGACAUCCCCAAGGAAGGAGGCCAUUGACAACUUGCUAAAUUUUCAUUGUGGGAAGAAGGAUGUGCUAAAGCAUGUGAAUCAGGAGUAUGCAGCAAUGGUCCACAAAAAAUGAGAGUGAUGGCUCCUCUGCACAUUUUUUUUUAAUCAACAAGGCUUUUUAAUGUGUAAUGUUAACUAGAAAACUAACUACAGUAAGAUUCACAAAAUAUUCGCUCAGCCAAAACGAGGAGCUUGUCAUAAAAGUCGGUUUGCAGAAAAACGGCAGUAUAGAUGAAAAUCUCGAUUACCGGCAAUUUAGUUUAUAAUAUAAACUAUAAUAUAAGCUGAGACCUAUUACUGUUGCCCGGAUCAAUAUGGCGGUGAUGUUGACCUACGAUCCAGCGGCCAAUGCGGCGUCUAUGAACACAACAGCCAUGAGUCACAGUGGAGUGACGUCAACUCCCGUCUUCGAUUGAUUGGCUAGAGGAGGAGCUGUAGUGGACCAAUGGUGACGCUAAAGCCCGCCCUGAUUUACGUGAAACUCGAAUUACAACAUUUGGAAAAGGAAGCGGAGAAUGUGGAAACAAGCGUGAAGGGAAAACAUGAGCAGAAAAUGUCAGAGAGCACAAAAACACAGUAAUAUAACCCACCUUUCCA